CUGACCAUCGCGAACUCUGAUGAAGCCAAUCUGUUUCGUCUCCACACUACCUAAAAAGGCGACAGCGAGGUUCUGCUGAGGCCGGGUGGCGCUGCAGUACUACCAGCAAAGUAUUCCUGAACAAUGCCGUCCCGGAAGUGGUCGAGGGCUCACCGGUGGGACCGAGGAAAAGAAACGAGCCGACGGGCAUGCCCUCACGGCUCAGCCCAGCUCGCGCUCGCACCAUGGCGUCCGCCACAGCUUUCACGGCGUCCUCUUGACCGAUUACUCUCUGAAGAGAAGGCAUGCAGAAGAUAGCUAGUACUGGGAUCAUGCUCGCGAAGCUACUACAGUGCGCAUGCACCGCAUUGACCUACUCUAUCUGGGUCUACUGGGCAUCAGUGGAGUCUCUUCCUGCAUACCAGGAGACCCCUUGAACGUGAUGCUGUGCCCAGAGAAGAAGUCUUACGGUACCCGAAGAGACAUCCUCAAGCAGUCAGUCUGCCUAUGACUCCCGGAGUAACAUAGCAGCCUAGGAUCGUUUUGAGACAGACAUUUCCACGCCCUGCCUGGAGGACCAGAAACGUGCCACCUCUUCGCGGAGUCAUUCUUACCGAGUGGAGCAAGUCGGAGAGGCGCAGGAUCUUGCCCUUUUCAUCAUCAGUCAGCUUGGCAACCGGAAUGCCUGUCCAGGAGCUGAUGACCACAGCCACGUCGUCGGCAGUGAGAACUAACUCCUGCUCUUCUUCAAGGGCCUCCUGUUCGAUUUCCUUCUCUAGCAACUUCAACUCCUCUUCGGUCCCAGCACCAUGCUGACAAGAUAUAGUAGAACAGACAGCAAAGAACACUCCACCUGAAGACAUCCGCCGAAACCUUUUCUACAGCCCAUGACCUGGUACCGGCACGCUUUGUUCGCUUUACGAUGCUUGCCGGGCGCAAAUGAACAGCUCAGCCGUGAAUGUCCUUGCCGGGAAUGCCCCUAUACCGCCGCGGACACUGCAGAGACGGUACCACUUCUACAGAAGCGUUCAUGAAACGAAACAGCAACAGACAAGUGAUUUCGUGUUUCCACCUCUUUGGUGGAUUGAUCAGCCCUCCAUACCGAUGGAUUAAAGCGCUCUCUGCUUGCAGUGGUUAUGCUGUGUUUCGAGUCUACCACCUUCUGUGAUGCAAAGCGCGAAGAGAAAUACACUACGUACGUGUUGUCCUUCAAUUCGUUUCUUAUCUUGUUCUUCAACUUUACGGUGUUCCUCCUCGAGCUUCUCUUUUUGUUUUUUCUCCGAUGCCAUUUCGUCAUCGUCCACGGUCCUCAAGUCCCAUUUCACGCGUUUUGUUGCGGCCGCUUCAUCCAGCUGCGCGAAGACAUGUCAAAGCACACACACAUUUUGGUCCGCUUUGGGGCUUUUGCUGAUGCUAGGUAGUUCAUGUGCACCAGGCUUGGCAUAGUUCAGCUGUAACAACCGCUGGAGAGAUGCUUGCAGGAGCCUGAGCCCAGCAUCUCAUCAGACAUUCGUCCCUGUGUGAACGUGCUGCCCGCGUGGGCUCGGGGAAGUUGACGGCUGAACUGUCGUCUCUAUGUUUUGAGCAAAUGCAACAGGAGCUCUUCUCUCUUUGGCACCAAAGAAUCGUCGCUCACCAAGUCGAUUGCUUUGUCGGGGAGCUUCCUGUUUUUGAUGUAUUUGUGCGAAAGCAUAACCGCAGAGACGAUGGCCUCAUCAGAGAUCGUCAUCUCGUGAUGGCGCUCGAACUUUUCCUUCAGUUUUCU
rnacentral:lncRNA from 1 species